AGAUCACAUGUUGACGUGAAUGGGCUAUAACCUAUCCUUUGGAUGGCUAAGGCCCAGGAAAGUCCCCGGGCCCAUAACCGCAGAGAUGCGGGCUCAGAAAUGAGUUAUGCUUCAUGGGCUGGAGUCCAAAUCUCAUAAAUGGGAUUGGGCUGAGACGAGGUGGAGCUAUGAUUCCAGCCCAGAAGCCCAAUUGGCCAAUAAAACAGUUAUUCACGUGGUCUAGUUAACCUAGACUAACUGAACGGGGCUUACAAUCAUGUGGUC
rnacentral:RNase_MRP_RNA from 2 species